CCUACGGGUUGCAGCAGUGGGGAAUUUUGGACAAUGGGCGCAAGCCUGAUCCAGCCAUGCCGCGUGUCUGAAGAAGGCCUUCGGGUUGUAAAGGACUUUUGUCAGGGAAGAAAAGGCUGUUGCUAAUAUCGACAGCUGAUGACGGUACCUGAAGAAUAAGCACCGGCUAACUACGUGCCAGCAGCCGCGGUAAUACGUAGGGUGCGAGCGUUAAUCGGAAUUACUGGGCGUAAAGCGAGCGCAGACGGUUACUUAAGCAGGAUGUGAAAUCCCCGGGCUCAACCUGGGAACUGCGUUCUGAACUGGGUGACUAGAGUGUGUCAGAGGGAGGUAGAAUUCCACGUGUAGCAGCGAAAUGCGUAGAGAUGUGGAGGAAUACCGAUGGCGAAGGCAGCCUCCUGGGAUAACACUGACGUUCAUGCUCGAAAGCGUGGGUAGCAAACAGGAUUAGAUACCCCCGUAGUC
rnacentral:rRNA from 1 species